rnacentral:lncRNA from 1 species
UAAAGCCAACAAACCUGGAAUCAACCUUCUGCACUUUGUUGCUCUGGAAGCUCAGAAGAAAGAUCUGCUCAUGUUUCCAGAGAAACUUCAGCAUGUUCAGCAAGCAGUGCGAGUGUGUGUUGACAGCAUCCAUGAUGAGUUUCACACUCUGACCAGAAGAGUUCAUCAGUUACAGCAAACCAUCCACUCAGAUGAUGAGCUCCUGACGCAGCUGCAGUCCUUCCUACA